GAUGAACGCUGGCGGCGUGCCUAAUACAUGCAAGUCGAGCGAACAGAUAAGGAGCUUGCUCCUUUGACGUUAGCGGCGGACGGGUGAGUAACACGUGGGUAACCUACCUAUAAGUCUGGAAUAACUCCGGGAAACCGGGGCUAAUGCCGGAUAACAUUUAGAACCGCAUGGUUCUAAAGUGAAAGAUGGUUUUGCUAUCACUUAUAGAUGGACCCGCGCCGUAUUAGCUAGUUGGUAAGGUAACGGCUUACCAAGGCAACGAUACGUAGCCGACCUGAGAGGGUGAUCGGCCACACUGGAACUGAGACACGGUCCAGACUCCUACGGGAGGCAGCAGUAGGGAAUCUUCCGCAAAGGGCGAAAGCCUGACGGAGCAACGCCGCGUGAGUGAUGAAGGUCUUCGGAUCGUAAAACUCUGUUAUUAGGGAAGAACAAAUGUGUAAGUAACUGUGCACGUCUUGACGGUACCUAAUCAGAAAGCCACGGCUAACUACGUG
rnacentral:rRNA from 1 species